CAGACCUGCAGGUAAAUUGUUGCUGCUAUUUGAGAUAUCUGCUAGAGGGUGAAUUCAUCAAGAUAAAUGGAUUGGAUCCUGACUUCGGAUGUACAAGAGCUGAACCCACUGAAGUUAAUUGAAGUCCCUUUCUUAUAAGUAGCUCUACAGAAGUAAUAUGAGUCACAGCUGCUUAAAGAAGAGUGAAAAAACAACAAGGCAGGUUGCAUGCUGCACUACACCAAUGUACAGUGUUUGAAGAUUUUUCCAUCAGAGCUAACUACGGGUUGACUCAGAAGCAUGAAGAACUUCUGCACAAGAAAUCCAGUUGAUUUAGUCACAUGCUGAGACAGUUACAAGGGCAGAUCCCAGAUGAGGAAAACUCUACAAGACAGGAAGCCUGAAAAAUGAUGCUGGAUCCAUUUCUGAGGAAAAGCAUUUAGGAGUUGUGGAAUCAAUCAAGUGAAAUCACACUAGGAGCCGAGGUCUUCUCUUAUGAGAAAUUCUACAUAGAAACUUUCCAUAGAUCUAAGGUACUUUUAAUGCACUAAAAAAAUACAUGGGCACAUUUUAUUCCUCCAGAAAAUGAAUCCAUAAGUUGUUGCUGACUUUAGCUGACCUUCAUGCAAGUGUUUCAUGAUCAGUAUGGAAUGUGGGAUGUCUCUGUCUGUAAAAUGUUUUGUUUGAAAAUAUAGUCCAAUAACAUUGAUUUAUGGUGAUGUCUGCUCUCUAAACCCUUAU